UACAGAGGUCCCAAGCGUUGUUCGGAUUCACUGGGCGUAAAGGGUGCGUAGGUGGCAGGGUAAGUUUGAUGUGAAAUCUCCGGGCUUAACCCGGAAACUGCAUUGAAUACUAUCCUGCUCGAGGUUUGGAGGGGGGACUGGAAUUCUCGGUGUAGCAGUGAAAUGCGUAGAUAUCGUCUGGAACGCCGAAGGUGAAAACAGCUCGCUGGGAUUGUGCUGACGCUGAGACACGAAAGCCAGGGGAGCGAACGGG
rnacentral:rRNA from 1 species